rnacentral:rRNA from 1 species
GGGGGCAACCCUGGCGGCGAGCGGCGAACGGGUGAGUAAUACAUCGGAACGUACCCAGGAGUGGGGGAUAACACAUCGAAAGAUGUGCUAAUACCGCAUACGCCCUGAGGGGGAAAGCGGGGGACCGCAAGGCCUCGCGCUGUUGGAGCGGCCGAUGUCGGAUUAGCUAGUUGGUGGGGUAAGGGCCUACCAAGGCGACGAUCCGUAGCUGGUCUGAGAGGAUGAUCAGCCACACUGGGACUGAGACACGGCCCAGACUCCUACGGGAGGCAGCAGUGGGGAAUUUUGGACAAUGGGGGCAACCCUGAUCCAGCCAUUCCGCGUGAGUGAAGAAGGCCUUCGGGUUGUAAAGCUCUUUCGGCAGGAACGAAACGGCGGGCUCUAACAUAGCCUGUCAAUGACAGUACCUGAAGAAGAAGCACCGGCUAACUACGUGCCAGCAGCCGCGGUAAUACGUAGGGUGCGAGCGUUAAUCGGAAUUACUGGGCGUAAAGCGUGCGCAGGCGGUUUUGUAAGACAGCUGUGAAAUCCCCGGGCUUAACCUGGGAACUGCGGUUGUGACUGCAAGACUAGAGUGCGGCAGAGGGGGGUGGAAUUCCACGUGUAGCAGUGAAAUGCGUAGAGAUGUGGAGGAACACCGAUGGCGAAGGCAGCCCCCUGGGUUGACACUGACGCUCAUGCACGAAAGCGUGGGUAGCAAACAGGAUUAGAUACCCUGGUAGUCCACGCCCUAAACGAUGCCAACUAGGUGUUGGGGGAAGGAGACUUCCUUAGUACCGGAGCUAACGCGUGAAGUUGACCGCCUGGGGGAGUACGGCCGCAAGGUUAAAACUCAAAGGAAUUGACGGGGACCCGCACAAGCGGUGGAUGAAUUGUGGAUUAAUUCGAUGC